ACUCGCAUUUUCUGUUACGUGAAGUGCAGAGCUUGGCCUGUAAACCCAGUCAUUACUACCAUCACUGUGGCUUCCAGAAUGUCAGGAUUAAAACGGACCGCAUGGAGUCUUACGCAAGACUGAGUCCACCAGGCAAUUUGAACCAAUAAAUAUCAAAAUCGUGUCCGAGCAAAGGAAAGUUCACCCGACAUUCUACCAACGGGAGUGUGAAGAGUUUUCCAGCUUGGCCUUCACCCUGGUAAAUGAAUUAUGAAAACAAAGACUCAAUAUGAAGCUGCCAAUGCUAAUGACUGGGUAGGAUGUGGACGCACAAUCAACAAAGGGUGCUCUGUCCCAGGAGGAGGAGUGAGAACUGCCCAUUACUAGAUCUGGGGGCUGCAAGACCCACCUUUCCCCUACCCUUCAAACCCUGAGCUCACGAAUGAGCUUGGAAAUCUGGCAAAGCUCCCUGCACUCAGGUUCAGCAGUCUUGAAAACAGCAUCUAAACCAACAGCAGGCAAAUAUAGAAGCUCAGGUAUUGAGCACCUGGGGAUACUA
rnacentral:lncRNA from 1 species